rnacentral:lncRNA from 1 species
GUUUUCCACAAGAAUAGUGCUCAGAUAAUCUUAUUAUCCUUAAUUAUUUGUAUUUCUAGAAAGUUCUUUGUGAUGACUUCCCUGGAAACAAACUGUUUGCAUGACAGUUCCAAUUACUGUUAUCCAAUGAAGACAUUUCCAAUACACAAAUAACUCAGUUACUGAAGAGAAAGGCCACAAGGAAUGCACAUGUGACUGAACAGGUUGGAUUGCUCCAAGUAGACAAUCACUCACCAUUAGGAACUUCAGUGAUCACUUCAGAGAUGUCCUAUUAACACACUUGAACUUGUGAUUAAUAAGAUAUCUUUAGAAGACGUCGAUGAACUAAAAUCUGAAAAAAGAAUGUGCUGCUGAGCCUGGGCAUUUGCUGAUUUUAUAAUACUCCAACAUCGUCAUGCAUUUUUAAUGAGUGUUUGUGAAUCCACA